rnacentral:rRNA from 1 species
CAGCCGCCGCGGGAAUACGGAGGGGGCUAGCGUUGUUCGGAAUUACUGGGCGUAAAGCGCACGUAGGCGGCUUGGUAAGUUAGAGGUGAAAGCCUGGAGCUCAACUCCAGAAUUGCCUUUAAGACUGCCGAGCUAGUAGGUGAGAGAGGUAAGUGGAAUUCCGAGUGUAGAGGUGAAAUUCGUAGAUAUUCGGAAGAACACCAGUGGCGAAGGCGGCUCACUGGCUCAUUCUAGACGCUGAGGUGCGAAAGCGUGGGGAGCAAACAGGAUUAGAUACCCCCGUAGUCCCUGUCUCUUAUAC